UGCUUAACACAUGCAAGUCGAACGGUCACAGGUCUAGCUUGCUAGAUGCUGACGAGUGGCGGACGGGUGAGUAACGUGCAGGAAUAUGCCUUAUAGUGGGGGAUAACCUAGGGAAACUUAGGAUAAUACCGCAUGAAACCUACGGGUUAAAGCAGGGGAUCGUAAGACCUUGCGCUAUGAGAUUAGCCUGCGUCUGAUUAGCUAGUUGGUGGGGUAAAGGCCUACCAAGGCGAUGAUCGGUAACUGGUCUGAGAGGACGACCAGCCACACUGGGACUGAGACACGGCCCAGACUCCUACGGGAGGCAGCAGUGGGGAAUAUUGGACAAUGGGCGCAAGCCUGAUCCAGCAAUGCCGCGUGUGUGAAGAAGGCCCUAGGGUCGUAAAGCAC
rnacentral:rRNA from 1 species